UCGGGAAUUUUGGGCAAUGGGGGAAACCCUGACCCAGCAACGCCGCGUGAAGGAUGAAGUAUUUCGGUAUGUAAACUUCGAAAGAAUAGGAAGAAUAAAUGACGGUACUAUUUAUAAGGUCCGGCUAACUACGUGCCAGCAGCCGCGGUAAUACGUAGGGACCAAGCGUUGUUCGGAUUUACUGGGCGUAAAGGGCGCGUAGGCGGCAUGACAAGUCACUUGUGAAAUCUCUGGGCUUAACCCAGAACGGCCAAGUGAUACUGUCGCGCUAGAGUGCAGAAGGGGCAAUCGGAAUUCUUGGUGUAGCGGUGAAAUGCGUAGAUAUCAAGAGGAACACCUGAGGUGAAGACGGGUUGCUGGGCUGACACUGACGCUGAGGCGCGAAAGCCAGGGGAGCAAACGGGAUUAGAUACCCGCGUAGUCCCUGAGCGGGCUGGCAAGGCG
rnacentral:rRNA from 1 species